AUUGAACGCUGGCGGCAGGCUUAACACAUGCAAGUCGAGCGAGCGGCGGACGGGUGAGUAAUGUCUGGGAAACUGCCUGAUGGAGGGGGAUAACUACUGGAAACGGUAGCUAAUACCGCAUACCAUCAGCGGUGCCCAAAUGGGAUUAGCUAGUGGUUGGGGUAAUGGCUCACCUAGGCGACGAGCCCUAGCUGGUCUGAGAGGAUGACCAGCCACACUGGAACUGAGACACGGUCCAGACUCCUACGGGAGGCAGCAGGGGGGAAUAGUGCACAAUGGGCGCAAGCCUGAUGCAGCCAUGCCGCGUGUGUGAAGAAGGCCUUCGGGUUGUAAAGCACUUUCAGCGAGGAGGCGUUAUUCGCAGAAGAAGCACCGGCUAACUCCGUGCCAGCAGCCGCGGUAAUAC
rnacentral:rRNA from 1 species